UACGGAGGGUGCGAGCGUUAUUCGGAAUUACUGGGCGUAAAGCGCGUGCAGGCGGGUGGGCAAGUCUGAUGUGAAAGCCCCGGGCUCAACCUGGGAAGAGCAUUGGAAACUGUUCAUCUUGAGUGCUGGAGAGGAAGGGGGAAUUCCCGGUGUAGAGGUGAAAUUCGUAGAGAUCGGGAGGAAUACCAGUGGCGAAGGCGCCCUUCUGGACGGCAACUGACGCUGAGACGCGAAAGCGUGGGGAG
rnacentral:rRNA from 1 species